UGGAGAUGCGGAUCAGUGGAGAUGAAACAUGAUUGCUACAGCAUUGCUAAGUGUUUAAAGAUGAACUGUGUGGUUAUUUCCUUGGUGAAUGUAUUUUUA
rnacentral:pre_miRNA from 1 species